ensembl:lncRNA
AUGGUGGGAGAUGAGGGCCCGUGUCUGCCCGGUGGCACCCGCUCCCCCAUCCCGGUGGCGAGACCAGGGUGCCUGGCGCUCACCACGCUCCCCCCCUGCUCCCCCCCCAGGCCCUGCCCGGCAGCACCCGCGCCGAGAUGGCCGACAUGCGCUCAGUGCGCUGGGCCGUCUGGAGCCCCGUCCCAGGUGCCGGCGAGGCGGACGUGGUCCUGCCCCUGCGUGGCGGCGCCCGCCGUGGCCCCUGCCAGGCCCUGGUCUACCGGACCCCACCGAGCAGCAGGAGCUCCCGCCAGGGGAAGCACGUGGAGUCUGGGACUGUCCAAUUCCAUGUUUCCACUGAUUCGGAAGAACAUCUUGUAACUGCUGCGGAGAUCCUACGUAAGGACAGGGACGAGCCGGAGGAGCCUCCCACGCCAUCGCUGAGUGAGUGUUUUCCAGAUCGCUGACAUUUAAAAUACAGAGUGUGGCAUCGGUGUCUGCUCAGGAGAAAAAACGCAACUUCACCGAGUUUCAGCGAGCUGGUUUAUGAAUUACCAGAGUGAACCGAGUUUCCAUCAAGCUGAAUUCAGCUCUUUCUAACUUGCAAAAUUCCCCACUGAUAGUAGCGCUGAGCCACGUGCAGAAUCCCCAGGGGUUUCCAGCUCCCAUUUUGGGUCACUCUGGUGGCAUUUGGGCUCCUGUGCACCAGCAGCCCUGGGCUCUCUACUCAUCCCUCUGCACUCUGAAUCCUUCCGGAGGUGAGGACAGGGGAGGUGUCAAUUAUAGGCCAAGGAAAAAAAUAAUAAUCUCGUUGCGCUGCUGUGUGGGGAGCGUGACAGCAGCAUGCGAUUGAUCGGUGCACGGGCUGUGCCAGGCCGGGGAAAGCCAGGCUGCGUGUGUGCACGUGUACGUGUGUCUAUAGUGCAGGGCUGGUCGGGGUUUCAGCACCUGUCUGCUGCAUCUGUUGGAGGCAGAAGGAAAAGUGCCGUUGGCUUGGGCAUGGAGUUGAGUCAGUGCCCCGGUCUCCUGGAAGUCCUUAUUUCUGUCUAAUCCCCUUUUUGUCGUCGGUGGGAAACUCCUCUGCUGCGUCGCGCCCGCUCCUGCGCGGGUCUCAGAGUGGUGCUCCAGAUUCCUGACAGCGUCUAAAUAGGUUUCUGGAGCUCAUCCAGCUCCUCUGGCGAGCCGGGAGCUGCCAGCUAGUGGGUCAGGGUGAUGCCCGGCGUGGUGGGUGCCUGUCCCUGCGCUGGCUCCAGUGCUGCUGCGCCUUCCACGAGAUGGCAGUGGCACCGUGGCUUUGCUGCCGCGAGUCCCGGCUUUCUGCCGGCGAGGAGCCGGGUUUGCUGGCAGAAGGGGCUGUAGAGCAGAGAGCUUUGUGGGUGAAAUGAAGGAUCUGGGCGCUGGGGCUGGGCUGGGUUUGGUUCCCUGUGACACAACUCCUGCUGGUGGCAGGCAGGACGUAGAGGGAGUUGUGGUGGGGUGAAGGGAGAAGCCAGCGUGUGCCCGGCACUGGGCUGUGGUGCUCCAGCUUGGGGGGAGCGUGCUGGAGCACGGGCAGGGUGCCCGGUGAGGAGAGACGCCCCAGCAGCGCAAUUUUGGGGGGCCGCAUCGCUCCAAGGGGCUGGCGAACCUGGGGAGAGCUUGGGAAGUGCAGCAGUGGCCCUGGAGCUGUGCUGUGAGGUGGGCGGCCACAUGCAAGAGCCAGCCCGUGCCCUGAGCUGUCGCAGAGAGUAUUUGGUGAUAAUGUUUUGUACAGCUCUGUUGGAAAACAUGCCACCAUCUGGCCCUCUGGCCAGGGGAGGCCAAGCCCAUCUUCUGUCAGCUCAGCUGCCGGCGGCGCUGAGGGAUCUGUCCAUCAGCUCCUGAACGCUGGGCAGAGCCUUCCUCAUGGAGAGAAACCAGUGCUGGAGAUGUGAGGGAGACAGGGGGGUUGGGUUCCCUUAGCACAGCAGUCUGCAUGAAAUAGCUGGAAUAUACGUGGUGGUGAAAGCAAAAUAAGGCCUCAGCAUCACAUGGCCGCAGAGACAGAACAUCGCUGCCCCUGGUCGGCUCCGAAGGACCCAUGGCUCGGCGGCAGGGCGAGCCGAGCGGCCAAGUAUAAACACGGUAAAGCUCGUUUUGGGGCACGAAUGCACAAACAGAUGAAGGGAGCGACAAGAAAUAAUGGAGGAGCAAUGAAAACCUUAAGUAUCCUAAAACUUUCACGUCUCAUUAAGCAUCCCACUUAGACAGCGCCGCAUGGCCGCAGGGAACCGCAGCGCUGUCUGGGGAUGGGGAGCUGCCUUCCGCGGCAGAGUUAGCCUGAUUCCCAGCAAAACAAUGGAUGGAUCUGGAGGCGUGCUAUGUUACCCCCCCUCGGCAACAGUCUUACUGGAAAAAUAAGUCAAAUAAGUGGUAAAGCGCUGGUAAGCUACCUCGCUGAGCUGGUUUCACCCCCAGAAUUUAAAAGGGAUGGCGGGAGGUUGAAGGGGGCUCAGUGGUGGAGGGCACAGCCACAGGGCCUGGGGGCAAUGGCUCCGCUCCAGCAUCUCUCCCGUCCCUCUCCGCAGGUCCGACGGCCCCGCUGCCAACAGCGGCCUCCCCGCGGGGCCCGGGGGUAAGUGCCACGGGGGUGGGUGCGAGCGGUGGUGUUCCCGGGGGGUGGCACCGAGCAUCCCCCCUCAAAUCCACCUCCUCUGGGGAAGCAAAAUGGGUCCUGCCUGUAACAUGCUGGGCGAGAUUCCCUGAGCUCUCCUCACAGCCCAGAUGUGUUUGUAAGGGCAGUUCUGGGUGUUGACAGCCCAGAUUUGCUGGGUACCGUUGUCCCCAGUACGUGCUGACAGCGACACACGAUCUCUUCGUGCAGAGCUACUGGGAUUUAGGGAGAGCUCUGAAUACCGAGAUCCCUCUUUAUGCUUUUUUAUAUCUUGAUGCAGGGAUCAAUGCACGCAAAUAUUUUUGAUGAAAUGAAAUGCCUCAUAAGACCUCAUUAAGCGGUUUAAUUUUCCUGCUGCAUUUUCCUGUCCUUCCCCUCGUGGGGGGAACCACAACAGCUAGAGAGGGAGCAGAGGUGUGGACCCACGGGCAGCCGUGCCAAGUCUCGUUGGAGCGGUGAUGCCAGAGCGGCCUUAGCCCAGAGGGGCUGCUGGCCUGCCCAGCCAUCGGGGGGGGCUGUGGGGACUCACGCGUGCCACUCUCCCUCCCGCCAGCUCUCGGUGUCCCAGCUGCGGGGCCAGACCCCGGCGCGGCACGGCCCCGGCUCUCGGCAGGACGGGGGGAUCACGCACCUGGAGGCCGACCUCGGCUCGCUGGAGCCCUGUGCCGGUGACCAGCUGCGGGCGCUGCCCUUCACCCCGCUGCAGGUGCCCAUCGCCGCUGUG